AAAUGUGAAGAAAAUUUGACAGCUCGACAACAAAGGACUGGCGGGAGGCUGUGCACAAUUUCGUUAAAAUUUAGUUGAACACGCACAAUAUACAAGCAAAAAUGCCCUCUGCUGGUCGAAUGAUGUGGAAUUUAUUGUGUUUUUCUUGGGAUGUGAUAAUUUAUGACAGAUCCUUGAAGAUUCUAUGAAGGACUGGUUGAGAGGAUUGAUACACUAAUUUUAUGCAAGGAGUUUAUGUGUAAUUUCUUGGAUAAUUUAGAAUGGAUCAAACAUUGAAAAUUUUACCAAAGCAAUAGUGUCUGGCCCAAAAAUAUGUGGUUUGAAGAUCAAACUACAUGGAGUUGUUUGUGUAUUCACCCAUACUGCCUCAGAUCAACAGAAGCUUGUCAAGACAAGAAGCCUGUGUUAUGAUAUAUCUAAGAUGUGACCACAGUAACAGCUUGGAUGAUAAAAAGCUUUCCGUGAGCUGAGCACCCCACCUGACCAUCCCCAACAAACGAGGCCACACAGGUGAGAACAUAUAUGUCCAUAGGCAUCCAGGUACACACCAAAGAAAACGGCAAAUUAAUGGCUGUUGAAAUUAAUUUUAUCCGCUUUGCCCUGACAUAGAAGACAAAAAGGUUGUCCGAUGGUUGUAGAUCAUU